GAAGAACCUAAGAAAUCCCUAAUGGUUUUCGAUUAAUGGCGUUUUGGUGCCCGGGAACUUGUGUACUAAGUAUUAUCAAGACAUCUCAAUAUUUACUCAAGUUAUCGCUUGCACAGGGAGACAGACAGUCACCCGGAUUUCAACUUGUCUUGUCAUCCUGAUUCUUUAUAUAUAUUUAUAACCCUAUAACUAAUUCGAUUAGUUUUAGAUAAUACAAACAACCGUUAGGUGAUCAAAACUAUUAUACUUUGUAGCAACAUGUUGCGAGAGUAUAAAAAGGCAUAAGCAAAUUUAAUGAAAAAAUAUAAAAAACAGCAAAAUAAAAAAUCUUCAAAUAAGUAAAUAUCAGCGGUUAGACAUUAUAAGUAAAAAAGUUAGAAAAUGCAAAAAUAAAACAAAACAUCGGUCCAGCGAAUGGCCAGCAUGUCACGCCAUUAGCUACCUGCAGGCGCUUGCUUAAAGCGCUACCAACCAAACGAAUCGACAUGCGAGCGCGCAUGGGGUUUGCCUCCAAGCUUCCAUGUGAUUUCUUAAACGUGCAGCUUUUACUGUCUUUUACGUAUUUUACAUGUCUUUUUUGACUUCUUUUCCUAAAUGCUAUUGCCCCGCUGGCGGUCAUUUCUCGGCUAAGCUUGUCUUCAUACUCGUUGUUUUUGUUGGUGUUUUGUUUUCAUGUGGAACCUCGCAUUAUUUUUCUCGUUAAAUGUGAAAUAAGCUGCUAAAAGACAACAGCAACAUUUUGGACAACAAAAUAACCACAAAAACAACAGCAAAUUGUAAAAGUAAAACAAAACAUAAUAACACAUUAUUGGAAAAAACGUAAUAAGAAAACCCCAAAUCGGAAAUUGUUGGCAUUUCGACGCUUGUCCAUUGUCGGUGGUUAAUCUCCGGCGUAAAAGCAAAUGACUGUCGACGAACGUGACAUCUGAGCGCAUGGUUAACGUGUAAAAUUUGCUAAUUUGCGUUGAAUUUCAAAUGCUUCAAUUAUUUAGUUUGCAAAAAUAACCGCUCUGGCAUUUACAAAGUUAACAGCGCAGCGCUGGAAAAAGCAAAAACAAUGCUGUGACGAGACAAAAGUAUUGAAUCCAACGUAUGGCAUAUUAAUGUGUUAUCGUCGCCGACGGUAUAAUUUCAACACAGAAUUGCAUUUAGAGUAUAUUAUUAAUUAUGUAUACAUGCUGUUCCAAGACCUAUUUUAGAAUUUUCGUAGGCUUGUGAAAUAUACUUCUGUAUAAAUAAGGAAUGAACAAUAUAAAACAAAGAAUCGUAAGCAGAUUGCGUAUCAAUUGAAGGUCAUUAAAAUGUCAUAAAUUGACAGCGAAAAACAAAAAUUGUAAAUCAACGAACCAAAACCAGACAGAAGGUGAAAUGAAAAUAAAAAAUUAAAUAAGCGACACACAAAUUAAGGAUAAGUAUCAAAGCAGAAUUGGCGAGAAAUAUAUACAAAUACCAAAGGAACACUAAAUGGCUAAAGGAGGGGAAAUUUAGAAAGACCCACGGUAAUAACAGACAAAUUAUGAUUCAGACUACGUAAGUUUCUCCCAAUAAAGUGUCUAUUUCACUCACUGAAAGUCUUGUUUAACCACCCAGCAGAAAUCAUUUAGCAUUUUGACGAUUCUGAUUGACCUCGGUAACCAAAAAAUAGCAAAUAAUUUGAAAAUAAAUGCCAACUCAUGUGUUUACUUUGUUUUGACUAAUAUAAAAUUGUAUACCUUAGAAAAAUCAUUCUAUACUUCCAUCUUUGUCUUUCAAUGUACCCAAAAAAUAAAAAAUAAUAAACAAAAAUACCUUAUAAAGCAUUCAA